rnacentral:rRNA from 1 species
GACGAACGCUGGCGGCGUGCCUAAUACAUGCAAGUAGAACGCUGAAGGAGGAGCUUGCUUCUCCGGAUGAGUUGCGAACGGGUGAGUAACGCGUAGGUAACCUGCCUGGUAGCGGGGGAUAACUAUUGGAAACGAUAGCUAAUACCGCAUAAGAGUAGAUGUUGCAUGACAUUUGCUUAAAAGGUGCAAUUGCAUCACUACCAGAUGGACCUGCGUUGUAUUAGCUAGUUGGUGGGGUAACGGCUCACCAAGGCGACGAUACAUAGCCGACCUGAGAGGGUGAUCGGCCACACUGGGACUGAGACACGGCCCAGACUCCUACGGGAGGCAGCAGUAGGGAAUCUUCGGCAAUGGACGGAAGUCUGACCGAGCAACGCCGCGUGAGUGAAGAAGGUUUUCGGAUCGUAAAGCUCUGUUGUAAGAGAAGAACGAGUGUGAGAGUGG